rnacentral:rRNA from 1 species
GACGGAGGGUGCCAGCGUUAUUCGGAAUUACUGGGCGUAAAGGGCGCGUAGGCGGCUUUUUAAGUCAGGCGUGAAAGCCCGGGGCUCAACCCCGGAAGUGCGUUUGAAACUGAUGAGCUCGAGUACGGGAGAGGGAAGUGGAAUUCCUGGUGUAGAGGUGAAAUUCGUAGAUAUCAGGAGGAACACCGGUGGCGAAGGCGACUUCCUGGACCGAUACUGACGCUGAUGCGCGAAAGCGUGGGGAGCAAACAGG